GCACAGGCUGCUGGACGAGCAGUCUCUGCUCUGCUCUCAGCUCAGCGUCCUACCUGGAGCGGGACCCCCUUCCUCGAGCCUGGCCCGCCCCGGCAGGACGGUAGCCACUCAGUGCUGCAUGCGGCUCGGGACCCCCCCCGCAGUUGAGGAGACCCUCAGACAGUCCCCCCCUGGAUCAAAGUGCCUCUGUGAGCGCCUGGACAUGAAGCUGGACAUGAUGGGCUUCCUGCAGAGAUUGAAGGAGUCUCUGCGUCAUUCUGUGAACACAGACUCCUUGGAGUAAAAGGUGUCCGUGGUGCUGCCUGAGAACCAGGGGGGGUCCUGAAGUCUUCCAUUCACUGAAGAAUAUUUUUUCAGAUGUACCCCUUCUGUAAUAAUUGUUAAUAUGUGCCUCUAGAACCACUACGAGCUGCAUGAGAAGCAAACUUUGUUGUAAAGGAAAGAUGUGUAAUAAAAGAAUAACGGCAUAGGACAGGCUGUCUAAUCAUAAAAACAUGUUUAAAAUAUAUAUAUUUAUAUAAAUGUAAGUAUUUAAUACAGAUACACACGAGGCUUCUGCUCAGAAAGCACAAAGCUUCGUGUGAAUAAUUCCACUGCAA